rfam:Chlorocebus sabaeus isolate 1994-021 chromosome 9, whole genome shotgun sequence.
GCCGGGUGCGGUGGCUCAAGUCUGUAAUCCCAGCACUUUGGGAGGCCGAGACGGGCGGAUCACGAGGUCAGGAGAUCGAGACCAUCCUGGCUAACACGGUGAAACCCCGUCUCUACUAAAAAUACAAAAAACUAGCCGGGCAAGGUACCGGGCACCUGUAGUCCCAGUUACNNNNNNNNNNGUAACUGGGACUACAGGUGCCCGGUACCUUGCCCGGCUAGUUUUUUGUAUUUUUAGUAGAGACGGGGUUUCAACGUGUUAGCCAGGAAGGGCUCGUUCUCCUGACCUCGUGAUCCGCCUGCCUCCA